AGUAAGCAGGGAGAGACUCAGGCAGGAAGAGAUGUCACACCAAACUAAUAUCGCAGCUCUUAUCCACAGAGAGCUGCUAGAGCUGUUUACUCAGGGGUACUGCUACAAUGAGGUAAGGUGAGCAUCAAAAAAUUUAAUCCAAUCUCAGUUAUUAAACCAGACAUUUUGUUCUUCUAAUGCAGAGGGCACAAUUACACUCUCCACCAUCAGGGGUACUGCUACAAUGAGGUAAGGUGAGCAUCAAAAAAUUUAAUCCAAUCUCAGUUAUUAAACCAGACAUUUUGUUCUUCUAAUGCAGAGGGCACAAUUACACUCUCUUUACUAGCCUCCCAUCUGUAAUCAGAAUGACGUUCUUCUGCCUUUGUCUCAUCUUUACAGUAAGAAGUUUAUUGUAUAGGGGGUUUUAUCUGAGAAAGAUAAUUUGAAUCUCUUUGUUUUUUUCCUCCCACAGUUACUAUGACAAGCCUAAUAAGUUGUAAAAUGAACACACUUUCAGUUAAACUUUUCUGCAAUGCUGUAAAUAACAAAAACAUACAUAAAAUAUACAACAAUUAUAAAUAUUUGUAGUUAUAUGCAGAACGCAUGUCAAACACAAUUUUGUGUUAUUGGCCUUAUUUUGAGCAGAGUUGUAUAUUUCCAACUUGGUUGGACUUCAUCAGAGCGAGGCAACUUAGAAAGAGAAGAACAUUUGUGGUAUUCAGCUUGGUGUGGGUGAGAUAAUGCUUUUAAUCUAUCCUUAUUUUCUGCAGUGAUCUUAUUGGCAUAGCUGGGUGAUUAUGGCUAAAGGCAGAAUAUAAAAUGUAAUGCUCAAGUGUGGAAUACACUACCAUCCAUUCUCAAAACCUUCUACAGAGGGACUGCUGAGAGCAUCCUGAGCAGCUGUAUCACUGUCUGGGCUGGGAACUGCA